UAGGGAAUCUUCGGCAAUGGGGGGAACCCUGACCGAGCAACGCCGCGAGAGUGAAGAAGGUUUUCGGAUCGUAAAGCUCUGUUGUUAAGGAAGAACGAGUGUGAGAAUGGAAAGUUCAUACUGUGACGGUACUUAACCAGAAAGGGACGGCUAACUACGUGCCAGCAGCCGCGGUAAUACGUAGGUCCCGAGCGUUGUCCGGAUUUAUUGGGCGUAAAGCGAGCGCAGGCGGUUAGAAAAGUCUGAAGUGAAAGGCAGUGGCUCAACCAUUGUAGGCUUUGGAAACUGUUUAACUUGAGUGCAGAAGGGGGGAGUGGAAUUCCAUGUGUAGCGGUGAAAUGCGUAGAUAUAUGGAGGAACACCGGUGGCGAAAGCGGCUCUCUGGUCUGUAACUGACGCUGAGGCUCGAAAGCGUGGGGAGCGAACAGG
rnacentral:rRNA from 1 species